ensembl:lncRNA
CGUUGGUGGUUCUUUGUGUCUGGGGGUGGGCGUCCAGGUACACACCGGCUCACUCCUUGGCGGCCGCUUAUCGGGGCCUGGAGCCUAGGGCUCGCUUGGGCCCCUUCGGAGGUGGGGUGCCCCCGGCCUGGGGCUCGGUCACUCAGGCACAGCUGGGGGCCGGCGGAGCUCAUGGGCGCGUCACUGCAACUCCCCCUGACUUCUGCUCCGCGGCUGCUGAGUGAGCCCUCAUCUGGGACUCUCCUCAGCUCUUACUGGAACAGUGGCGCGGCUGCCCCUCUGUUGGUCUUCCUUGGUCUCUUGUGUUCUGGGGGCCUCUGGAUGUCUGGAGUUUUGAUCUCCUCCAUACCUGCUUCACACCCUGGAGGACGGGGCAGUGGCCCCCCCACACACUCCCUAGCAGAUCAUUACAUGGAGAAACCUUUGGAAUGCAAGCGCGCUGAUCCACACAGGUAUGCACACGGGUGUUCACUGCUCGUAGACCCAAAUUACACCUUUCUUGGCUGCUACUUCGAAGCACAUCUGUCCUGCGUGCUGCACAACAACAUUGAAUAUUUAGUAUUUACUGCUGUUUACACUUAGCUAGAUUAAUGCGAUGGUGUUGUGUUUAGUAUGUUGCUUUGUUUUUUUUCUGCUUGUUUUCUAUUCUUCUCUCAACAGGUGAUCCAGGAGAUUUUUAUUUUUUUUCUCCCCCCCUUUCUCACUGUCCCUCUCCCCUUCUGUUUUUCCUUUCCUUCCUCUUUCUUUCUCCCUUUCCUAUCCCUCACUCAUGUCUGUCCCGUCUGUAACAUCUGAAAAUAAAAUAUAAUAAAUAAUAAAAACAAAGAUCGACCAAAUGGACCAAUACGGCAAUGCCACGAUGAUCCAUUUGGCAAAGUAAAUCCAUUGGGUAUCCUUGUUGGUCUUCAGACAACAAUUCUGAUGGCUAAAGAACCAAAUGGGACAGGCAAAAAAAAAAAAAAAAAAAAAAAAAGAAUCGAUUAAGCUAGGUGGCUAAUAUGUAUAGCCAUGUAAAUGUGUUAAUAAUGUCGGUUUAAAUGCUUUCCCAUGAUUAUUUUCAUGUUGGCUGGAAAUAAAAUACUUUUAUAUAAAAUAAAAUACCCCUUGUUAUUAGUGCAGAUUACUGCAACUUCUGCAUGACAGGCGUGUCUGUUACACGCUUUGUUGUGAUAUCGGGUGUAGGCAGUGAUUAAGAUGCUAGUUGUGUUCAAUACAUUCCAAUUUUAUUUAUAUAGUGCCAAAUCACAACAAUAGUUGCCUCAAGGUGCUUUUUAUUUUAAAGUAAAGACCCUGCAACCCCGCUGUGAGCAAGCAUUUGGCGACAGUGAGAGGGAAGAACUCCCUUUUAACAGGAAGAGCCAGAGAUGAAUAAAAACAAAUGAUUUCAUGCAAAUGUAUUUGUGUGGUCACACUUUGUCCAGUCUGCAAACUAGACAGAAAACAGAACAAACGUAUCAAUAUUGAAGAAGAAAAAAAAAAAAAAGAAAAAAAAAUGAAACGAUGGUGACCAUGCACGUUUUAUCUUUGCUUUUAACUUAAUAUGCUUUUAGCCAUAGAACCAACAACCCUUGAACCUGUACGUGUAAAAGGAAACAUUCUUGUAAACCACAGAAAACAUCAGAGGAAGUGGUUUGAUACUGAAGGGUGGUGGCUAAUUUUGUGUGUUUGAGAUGAAUUACUACCUGCAAAGAGAUUUUGAACUCUAAUGAGACUACCUAUUGUAAUGAGAUAUAUAAAUAAAGUAUAUACGUACUGUGUAGUAUAAACCACAGGAAUAGUGAACUGACUAAAGGGAUAAAUUUCGUAACAUAAAAAAGGGCAGAUUUUUAGAGUAGAAUACAAAAGAGUAGAAUAUGAGUAGAGUAUAAAUUAUCUCAAAAAAGAAGUAUUAAAAAAAC